CCUGAUGGCUCAGAGAGUAAAGAAUCUGCCUGCAAUGCAGGAGACCCAGGUUUGAUCCCUGGGUCAGGA
rnacentral:tRNA from 1 species